rnacentral:lncRNA from 13 species
AUGGAUAUUUUUGAUGGAUUUGUGGAACAAAAAAAAUGGGUUGCUUUUUGUAUGAACAUAACAUAUUGUACUGUACUACAGCUCUCGGGGAUAGCAUCCCAAAUGAGACGUUUCACACAUCAGUGGCCACUGAGCACACUGCAGGCCAAACUCAGUGGCUGGCAUUGUAAAGAUGGACCAACAUACUUAAAACUCCUAUUGUAGAACCAGAUGGUUUACUUUGGAAACAUGUUGUUGUUGUUGCAGUGUACAGUUUUAUAAACAAGUAAUUCUUCUAACAAAUAGGAAAUAUUAACUUGAUCGUCUGUUUAGCUCUGCCAGUUUGGCUGAUUCCCUUCUACCCUGGUCCCAGACCUGUUAGUGCUUUUCUUUUCAACACUUAUAUGGUCAAUGGCAAGACAGAACAAAACUGAUCUGGGGACAAGGCUUAUUUCCACCCAUGCUUUUUAUAUAUAUUAAAAAAAAAAAAGAGCACUCAAACUCAGUCAGUUUUAAGACUUAAUAUAUAAUUUUGUUUAUUAUACGUAUUUGUAAUUCUACAUCCAAUAUUUUAGUUAAAAUGGACACCAUCGUGACAACCUUUCCCUAUCAACGCUGUCUGCCCGCCGCAAAAACAGAUGCUCUUUAAAAUAACUUUUGUUACAAGACUUUUUUUAAAGCAAAGGCACAUUUUUUAAUAAGUAUUUUUAAAAGGAAAGCAGAGAGAGAAACUGGCUGGCUGGUGGGUGGGUGGGUAGAGACUGGGGAGGCAGAGUCGGCCCGGGGAGGCAGAGUCGGCCCGGGGAGGCAGAGGGGAAAAGCGAGAUGCUUCCAUCGUAAGACAGCCAG